rnacentral:rRNA from 1 species
UACGUAGGUGGCAAGCGUUAUCCGGAAUUAUUGGGCGUAAAGCGCGCGUAGGCGGUUUUUUAAGUCUGAUGUGAAAGCCCACGGCUCAACCGUGGAGGGUCAUUGGAAACUGGAAAACUUGAGUGCGGAAGAGGAAAGUGGAAUUCCAUGUGUAGCGGUGAAAUGCGCAGAGAUAUGGAGGAACACCAGUGGCGAAGGCGACUUUCUGGUCUGUAACUGACGCUGAUGUGCGAAAGCGUGGGGAUCAAACAGAGAUUAGAUACCCUGGUAGUC